rnacentral:rRNA from 1 species
AUGGAAAAAACCAGCAGCUCCUCCAUGGCCUCCCCAGUCCGCUCACCGCCACCGGAGCCGGCCGCGGAGGCACAACCACCUCCUCCUUCUUCGCCUCCAAAGGCUCCAACGCAUCCACCUCUUUCCACCGCCGAUCCUUCUGCUCCCCUCCCUCGUGGGAACCAAACAUCCGCGCCGCGGCGGACACCCCCGCCUCCUCCCGCUCGCGCUCCCGCUCCAGCAGCACCACCUCCACCAGCACCGGCGUCUCCGGAAGCUAAGCCGGUGCAGGAGGCAGAUGAAGCGCCCGGCGGAUCGGAGAACAUGGCGCUAGCCCUUGCGCUAACCCAAAACGAAGCAGUGAUGCCGCCGACGCCGCAGAAGGACGCGGUCAUGGCUGAAUCCCCGACCGGAUCUCCGCAGAAGGAGUCGGCCCUGACCGUAGCGAAGCUCCUCUCGGCCGAGGACCCCGCGGCAACGGAGGCCAAGCCGGCCGCCGACAAGGUAGCACCUGCGGUAGUCACCGAGUCAGUCGCCGGCGGCGGCGGGGGCGGAGGUGGAGGCGGAGGCAAAGUCGGAGUGGGCUCCAAGAGAUGGCUCCUUAGAGGGGUCCCAGAUAGAGUACGGCUCACGGAGCUGAAGAGGGCUGAGCUAGGGUUUAGGGUUUCAGCUGCCGUGUUCUGCUUGAUCUCGGUCUCCGUCAUGUCGUCUGGCACUACGCCGGGCUGGGCUGGUGACUCCUUCCGCCGCUACAACGAAUACAGGUACACGCUUGCUGCGAGCGUGAUGGCUUUUACAUACUCGGGGUUCCAAUUAGUUGCAGAAGUGCACUACCUUGUCACAGGGAGGCGCAUAAUUGGAGGCCCCUGGGGGAACUACUUCAAUCUCGCCAUGGAUCAGGUAUUGGCUUACCUGCUGCUGUCAGCAUCUUCAGCAGCGCUUUCUCGCAAUGAUGUGUGGGUGUCAAGAUUUGGCGUGGAUCAAUUUGCCAAACUUAUCAAUGCCUCAGGCUCAAUGGCGUUCUUAGCUUUCAUUGCUCUUGGUCUGAGCUCCAUCAUCUCUGCUCAUCGUGUAUUCAGCUCAAUCCCUUAA